GGUCUCGUAGUGUAUAGCGGUUAACACGCCUGCCUGUCACGCAGGAGAUCGCGGGUUCGAUUCCCGUCGAGACCGCCA
rnacentral:tRNA from 1 species